GAUGAAGAACGCAGUGAAAUGCGAUAAGUAAUGUGAAUUGCAGAAUUCAGUGAAUCAUCGAAUCUUUGAACGCACAUUGCGCCCGCCAGCAUUCUGGCGGGCAUGCCUGUUCGAGCGUCAUUUCAACCCUCGAGCCCCCCCGGGGGCCUCGGUGUUGGGGGACGGCACACCAGCCGCCCCCGAAAUGCAGUGGCGACCCCGCCGCAGCCUCCCCUGCGUAGUAGCACACACCUCGCACCGGAGCGCGGAGGCGGUCACGCCGUAAAACGCCCAACUUUCUUAGAGUUGACCUCGGAUCAGGUAGGAAUACCCGCUGAACUUAAGCAUAUCAAUAAGCGGAGAA
rnacentral:misc_RNA from 1 species